rnacentral:rRNA from 1 species
GUGGGGAAUAUUGCGCAAUGGGGGAAACCCUGACGCAGCAACGCCGCGUGAAGGAUGAAGGUUUUCGGAUUGUAAACUUCUUUGACGCAGGACGAAAUAAAUGACCGUACUGUGAAAACAAGCCACGGCUAACUUCGUGCCAGCAGCCGCGGUAAUACGAAGGGGGCUAGCGUUGCUCGGAUUUACUGGGCGUAAAGGGCGCGUAGGCGGACAUUUAAGUCAGGGGUGAAAUCCCGGGGCUCAACCUCGGAACUGCCUUUGAUACUGGGUGUCUUGAGUAUGAGAGAGGUGUGUGGAACUCCGAGUGUAGAGGUGAAAUUCGUAGAUAUUCGGAAGAACACCAGUGGCGAAGGCGACACACUGGCUCAUUACUGACGCUGAGGCGCGAAAGCGUGGGGAGCAAACAGGAUUAGAUACCCGAGUAGUCC